rnacentral:tRNA from 1 species
GUCGGGUUCGCAUAGCACGGCCGAUUGCGCUUACCUGAAGAGUGAGUGUCCUUGCAGACGCGCGGGUUCAAAUCCCGCACCCGACG